UCACUGAACUAACAUGUGGUGAAGAUAAAUAUGAUCUAAGAGAGUUCUCAAUAGAAGAGGUUAAGCACUCAUCCACUGAUAUUGAUACAUGUGAUCCAUUAUUGUAUGAGAAUACCAGUACACCAUUACAUGAAGCAGCUUGGAGAGGAUUAAAAGAUGAAGUACAAUGGCUUCUUGAUAAGUUUGGUUACAGCACAUAUCAUCGUGGUCUUCAUGGUUGGACUCCAUUACACUCUGCAUCAUAUGGUGGG